rnacentral:lncRNA from 1 species
CAUUGCUAAUGAAUACCCUUUUUAAAAAACUUUUAUGAUAGAUUUUUCUCUUUCAUCUUCAGUAAACAGAAUCAUGCUCAGAUAAAACGGCCUGCCAAAGAUUAAAUACAGGAGAAGGAAACAGCAAUCAUUUUAUAGGAAGCAAAUUCUUUUUAAAUUCAUACAUACAGUAACUUAUCUGAAAGCAGGGUGCGUUAUUUGGAAAAACCACUAACUUUUUCUCUAGGGCUCAUUGAGCCAAUAUGACUUCGCCAGUUUUUGGAAGCAAUAUAACUUACUAUUGCUGGAUUUUUAAAUAUUUGAAUAUGAUGAAGCUAUUGAUUUCACCAAAUCCUUAGCCUUUUUUUUUUCUUUUGACACAUAAAGAUCACUGAGUAAAGAUUCUUAACUUUUUAAAGCUGUCGUUAGAAGUUUUGAAGUUACAUUUCAACAGGAAUCUAAGACAUUUGUGUGUUAUUUGAAGCAUAGCACCUUUGGCAGUAUCACUAUACCUACUGUCAGGCUAUUCACAGAUAAAACUUGUUAAGGUUUCUCAAUAGGUACUUAGAGAUAUGACCUUGGAGACUAGAAGCAAGAGUGUUGCUUUCUGAGCUAUGGGACAGUUUUCUUCCCGGUUUAGAAACGUAUAGUAGGAGGGUCUCAUAUAUGGGACUGGUAUAUAAUUAGUUAUAGUUGUGGAAAACAAAAUUUCAAAUAUAAUUUAUUUUCAGCUAAGUUUGCAUGUGCAUGUAUGUGUGUAUGUGUGUUUGACGGUGAUGGUGGGAGUAGGGAAUAUAUUGCCCUAUUCUUUCCUGAGUUCUGGUCACCAAUUGUUGUAGUUAAAUUUUCUGCCUGUGGAUUUAUUUUGAACUUUUUGUGUGAAUUUCAGUCACUAUACUUUUUCUCGUUAGAGUGUACUCUUUCUAGUUAUUAAAAAGAAAAGUUAACUGUAAAACAGCCUCAGGCAGGUCCUUCCGGAGCUAUCCAGAAGAAGCCAUUGUUAUCAUAGGAGAUGACAGCUCCAUGGGUGUUAUUGCCCCUGAAGACCUUCCAGUGGGACAAGAUGUGGAGGUGGAAGACAGUGACACUGAUGAUCCUCACCCUGUCUGGGCUAAUCAUGGUGGUUCUACCAGGAUGAUUUAGGUAGAGCCAGGAAGUGGCCACUUAACUUAAGCUGGACUUAGAAGGAUGCAAAGCUGGAGGGAACAUCAUUGAGAAUUCAGUAUUUCAUUUCAUAUGGCCUUUUCUUUUUCAAAGGUAAGAAUGAUGAUAGAGGAAGAAGCACAGCCUUUUAAGUAGAUUUCAGCAAUCUUAUUGUCUUUAUACCAGUUGUUUUAAUAUAUGCAGUGCAGAAUCACUUAAACAAAAUUCUUUUCUUGAUUUGUCAAAGCAAAGGAAAACCUAUGCUAGUUAUGCCAGCCACUGUUGUUUGAUAUAAUCAGUAGUCAUCUACUUGCUAGCAAAAAGCAUUCCCUUAUAGUAGAUUUAACUGUAUGCAAUUUAGGUACAAAAACUUGUGUUUUAGAAAAAAUGAGGGUCAUUCUAUAGUACAUAUAAAGUUAUGAUUUAAUUAUGUGUUUACACCCCUUUCCCUUAUACCUUAUGAGUAGACAGUUUUGGUUUUAUCAGUUUUGCACUCCUUUUGAUUAUAAAUGACCAAACAAAUGCUAUUACUUAAAAAAAUUAAUUGUAACUUUGUAAUACAUGUUACAAAAUGUAUAUGUAAUA